rnacentral:rRNA from 1 species
UACGUAGGGGGCAAGCGUUGUCCGGAAUCAUUGGGCGUAAAGAGCGUGUAGGCGGUCCGGUAAGUCGGCUGUGAAAGUCCAGGGCUCAACCCUGGGAUGCCGGUCGAUACUGCCGGACUAGAGUUCGGAAGAGGCGAGUGGAAUUCCCGGUGUAGCGGUGAAAUGCGCAGAUAUCGGGAGGAACACCUAUGGCGAAGGCAGCUCGCUGGGACGUUACUGACGCUGAGUGAGCGAAAGCCAGGGGAGCAAACGGG